CUCUCUCUCUCUCUCUCUCUCUCCCUCUCUCUUUCUCUCUUGCAAACCCAGGAUCCCCGAACCCAACGUCUGCCAUGGGCGGUCACCAACCCCCCCCGGUCGGUCGACCGCUGAUGGCCGCCACCAACCCCCUCUCAGCCAUCAACGUUCCCCGAACCCAUCGGUCGUCAUGGGCAGCGGCAGCCAACGCCCGCCCCUCCCCCCUGCUAGCCGUCACCAACCCCCCCUCAGUUCUCAAACUCAACAGCCCAUUUUGGUAAGAUAUCUUGUGAUUUUUGUUGUGUAUAUGUAUCUGUGUAUAUGUAUGUGUGUGUUGUGUGUGUGUAUGGGUGUGUGCGACGGCCGCGUUGUGUGUGUGUGUGUUCUGUGUGUGUAUAUGUAUCUAUGUAUAUGUAGCGGUUUCUGUUCAGAGAGCUGGGGAUUUGCAGAGGCUGUUGCCCCUCUUUGUAGAUGCCGAUCUGUCUUCUCAAAUCGAUCGGCUUCGUCUGAGAGUCGAUGUUUCAGUUCUCAAACUCAACAGCCCCUUUCGAUAAGAUAUCUUAUAAGUUGUCCAACCGAUUUGUUUUGUUUGAUUGCGGUUUCUGUUCGUAAGAACUGGUUUCCAAAUCGAAAAACAGAUCAGCCGUUGCUUUUCGUUCUGUCAAAUCUCCGUUGCUUUCGGUUCGGAAUCAUAAAACAAAUCGGUGAAUCGGAGAGUGACUGUCAAAUCGCCGAUCUUUCCCACUAUUUCUCGCCUCAAUCUCUGUAUUCUUUCCCACUAAUACUUAAAGAUGCAAAUAUUAGGUUGUAUUAGGUUGAUGGAGUGGAAGUGGAAGAAACCAUUGGAUUGAACAAAAUGUCGCAGAACAACUGGGAAGCCGACAAAAUGCUUGAUUUGAAAAAUGCCGCACUUGCAAGGUUGAGUGCUGUGCAUAGGAGCCUUAAGGUUGCCAAAUCAAGCGUGAAGAAGAAGAAAAGACAGGUAGGCUGCUAAGACCAACCGAGGUAGGAAGUGAACUUAAGAAGAUGUGAUUUUUGCAUGAUUUAUGGACGCGUGGAAUGUUUGAAUUUUCAUCUUUUUUGCUCUUUCGAAGCUAUUUUUCCUUUUGACUUGAGUAGAUCAAGUUUUGAAGUGGAAAUGAAAGAGAUGUGGUGUUUUUUGACAUGAUUUGAUUAUGAUUAUGAAAUAUAUAAGUUUUGUAGAUAUAUUGAUAUA